AACGAACGCUGGCGGCAUGCCUAACACAUGCAAGUCGAACGGAAAGGCCCCCUUGUGGGGUACUCGAGUGGCGAACGGGUGAGUAACACGUGAGUAACCUACCCUUGACUUUGGGAUAACUUCAGGAAACUGGGGCUAAUACCGGAUAGGAGCUCCUGCUGCAUGGUGGGGGUUGGAAAGUUUCGGCGGUUGGGGAUGGACUCGCGGCUUAUCAGCUUGUUGGUGGGGUAGUGGCUCACCAAGGCUUUGACGGGUAGCCGGCCUGAGAGGGUGACCGGCCACAUUAGGACUGAGAUACGGCCCAGACUCCUACGGGAGGCAGCAGUGGGGAAUAUUGCACAAUGGGCGGAAGCCUGAUGCAGCAACGCCGCGUGCGGGAUGACGGCCUUCGGGUUGUAAACCGCUUUCGCCUGUGACGAAGCGUGAGUGACGGUAAUGGGUAAAGAAGCACCGGCUAACUACGUG
rnacentral:rRNA from 1 species